GCUUACUUAGGCAAUACAUUUACUAAUAUUGGAAUGACAUAGAGAAGAUUAGCAUAGCCCCUGUGCAAAAUCUGUAACGAAACACACAAACACACACAAACACACA
ensembl:snRNA U6 U6 spliceosomal RNA